UGCGUAGGCGGAUUAGUAAGUUAGUGGUGAAAGCCUCCGGCUCAACCGGAGAACUGCCAUUAAUACUGCUAAUCUUGAGUAUAGUUGAAGUGGGCGGAAUGUAUCAUGUAGCGGUGAAAUGCUUAGAUAUGAUACAGAACACCGAUAGCGUAGGCAGCUUGCUAAACUAUAACUGACGCUCAGGCACGAAAGCGUGGGGAUCAAACAGGAUUAGAUACCCUGGUAGUCC
rnacentral:rRNA from 1 species